rnacentral:misc_RNA from 1 species
AAGGAUCAUUGUUGAUGCCUCAAUCGAGAGAGACCCGCGGACGCGUUUUACCACCCGGGACGGUCGAAGCUGCGAAGCGGCUCGCCUUCCCCAGACGUCGGGACGGAGCCAGGCCCUGCGGGCUCUCGUCCCGGCACAAUAACAAACAAACCCCGGCGCGGAAUGCGCCAAGGAAGCAACAAUCGUACAGCGCGCCCCGUCGACCCGGUAACGGUGCUCGGACGGGUGAUGUCGCAACACUCGAGUCCAAAACGACUCUCGGCAACGGAUAUCUCGGCUCUUGCAUCGAUGAAGAACGCAGGAAUUGCAGAAUCCCGUGAACCAUCGAGUCUUUGAACGCAAGUUGCGCCCGAAGCCAUUAGGCCAAGGGCACGCCUGCCUGGGUGUCACUAAUCGCCGCCCCAACCCCUGUGCCUCUGGCCACGGAGCGGGGCGAAUGCUGGCUUCCCGUGAGCACCGCCUUGCGGUUGGUUGAAAAUCGGGUUCGUGGUGGAUGCAGCGCCAUGACGGACGGUGGUCGAGCAUGUUCUCGAGGCCAGUCAUGCGUGCGGCCUCCACCAGCUCCGUACCCAGUGACCCAUGAGCGAUUGCGAUCGCCCAAGACGCGACCUCAGGUCAGGC